GUGGGGAAUAUUGGACAAUGGGCGAAAGCCUGAUCCAGCCAUGCCGCGUGUGUGAAGAAGGUCUUCGGAUUGUAAAGCACUUUAAGUUGGGAGGAAGGGCAGUAAGUUAAUACCUUGCUGUUUUGACGUUACCGACAGAAUAAGCACCGGCUAACUUCGUGCCAGCAGCCGCGGUAAUACGAAGGGUGCAAGCGUUAAUCGGAAUUACUGGGCGUAAAGCGCGAGUAGGUGGUUUUGUAAGUUGGAGGUGAAAUCACCGGGCUCAACCUGGGAACUGCAUCAAAAACUGCAUGGCUAGAGUACGGUAGAGGGUAGGGGAAUUUCCUGUGUAGCGGUGAAAUGCGUAGAUAUAGGAAGGAACACCAGUGGCGAAGGCGACUACCUGGACUGAUACUGACACUGAGGUGCGAAAGCGUGGGGAGCAAACAGGAUUAGAUACCCUAGUAGUCC
rnacentral:rRNA from 1 species